rnacentral:misc_RNA from 1 species
CUGCCUCCGGGCGCCCAACCUCCCACCCGUGACUACCUAACACUGUUGCUUCGGCGGGGAGCCCUCUCGGGGGCGAGCCGCCGGGGACUACUGAACUUCAUGCCUGAGAGUGAUGCAGUCUGAGUCUGAAUAUAAAAUCAGUCAAAACUUUCAACAAUGGAUCUCUUGGUUCCGGCAUCGAUGAAGAACGCAGCGAACUGCGAUAAGUAAUGUGAAUUGCAGAAUUCAGUGAAUCAUCGAGUCUUUGAACGCACAUUGCGCCCCCUGGCAUUCCGGGGGGCAUGCCUGUCCGAGCGUCAUUGCUGCCCAUCAAGCCCGGCUUGUGUGUUGGGUCGUCGUCCCCCCCGGGGGACGGGCCCGAAAGGCAGCGGCGGCACCGUGUCCGGUCCUCGAGCGUAUGGGGCUUUGUCACCCGCUCGAUUUAGGGCCGGCCGGGCGCCAGCCGACGUCCAACCAUUUUUCUUCAGGUUGACCUCGGAUCAGGUAGGGAUACCCGCUGAACUUAAGCAUAUCAAUAAGCGGAGGAAAAGAAACCAACCGGGAUUGCCCCAGUAACGGCGAGUGAAGCGGCAAGAGCUCAAAUUUGAAAUCUGGCCCCUCCGGGGUCCGAGUUGUAAUUUGCAGAGGAUGCUUCGGGUGCGGCCCCUGUCUAAGUGCCCUGGAACGGGCCGUCAGAGAGGGUGAGAAUCCCGUCUUGGGCAGGGUGCCCGUGCCCGUGUGAAGCUCCUUCGACGAGUCGAGUUGUUUGGGAAUGCAGCUCUAAAUGGGUGGUAAAUUUCAUCUAAAGCUAAAUACCGGCCGGAGACCGAUAGCGCACAAGUAGAGUGAUCG